AGAGUCGCACAAGGUAAGAUCUAGCCAGUCGCCUUGGCCCCGAGUGAUGCGGUGUGUCGGGCAACCGGCAGGACGAAGCGUUCACAGGGGUACAGCCGGGCGGUGUAUUGAGCUCCGAAAACAUCCUUGUGUGGUGGCCGACCUUGUCCUGACAGGGGGAAGGCAAUAGUCAUGUCGAACAACAACGGCGAGUCCGAUGUGACCCCCACGGAGUCUGAGACCA
rfam:Nitrospirae bacterium RBG_19FT_COMBO_58_9 rbg_19ft_combo_scaffold_17095, whole genome shotgun sequence.